rnacentral:rRNA from 1 species
UACGGAGGGUGCGAGCGUUGUCCGGAAUCAUUGGGCGUAAAGGGCGCGUAGGUGGCCCAGUAAGCGUGCGGUCGAAGCUCGGGGCUCAAACCCCCGGAGUUACCGGCCGGUGCGAACUACUGGGCUGGAGCACUGUAGAGGCAGGGCGGAAUUCCGGGUGUAGCGGUGGAAUGCGUAGAGAUCCGGAAGAACACCGGUGGCGAAGGGCGGCCUGCUGGGCAGUUGCUGGACACUGAGGCGCGACAGCGUGGGGAGCAACAGGG